UAUGGAAGAAAAGCACUCUUUGGCCUGUUGUGACUGGGACAGUUGACAGCACCCAGGUGUCCUUUAAUGAAAAUGCUCUUGACACCAAUGCAUCCUAGCAUCACAGCUUCAGGAAGCCUUCUCAAGUGUGCAUGGGGAGUACUAUGUCUUUCAUCAAUAAUGAAAUCUUCUGAUUUGUAAGACAUGCUGCCAAGAGAUGUGCCAUUCUAUUAUAAAAGAUCAGUAGCUUCCUUUACCGACGUGUAUAUUCUAUCUAGAACAUUGAGCUAUGGAAGACUCCCACCUAAGGGAAUUAGUUUUACACCUUCAGAUAAAGACUGCUGAGAAGAGCACCCUCUGGUGUUGUCACAGAGGCAAGUGCUACCGCACAGGCAUGCUGCAGUGAAUUUAACUGAUCCUCUGUCCCUGCAACCGUUGUUUAAGGAUGCUAUUCUGAAAAGACUGUGGAGGAAGAAAACCCUUUACCCUGUUGUUCAGGGAGAAACUGACACCACUCAACUGCCUGGCACUGAAAAUGUGGCAUCCAGUCCACUUUACCAUCAGUGUUUAAGGAAACCAUCUCUGAUAAGGAUGACUGAGGAAGAGUACUCUUUGGCUUGUUGACACCAGCACAGCUGACACACCCAGAUAUCUGUUUGGUCUCCUGUGAACUUUCAACCAGGAUUUAAGGAUGCCACUCUGGUUAAAAGCUGAAACAACUUCAAGGAAACUUCAGGGAAAAGAGAAGGCCUGGAAUCUGAUCCUCCACUUCAGAGAACAGGGGUCAGCUUACUGUAUGAUUAAGUAACACAAGGCACAGUAGCCAUCUUUUUCAUUAUGUUGCAACACUGAUCACGUGCCUCGAUAAAAUGGCUGAUUCAACAAGAUGAUGGCAACACGAAGGGGAGACUUUG
rnacentral:lncRNA from 1 species